rnacentral:rRNA from 1 species
UACGGGGGGAGCAAGCGUUGUUCGGAUUUACUGGGCGUAAAGGGCGCGUAGGCGGUCAGCACAAGUCAGUUGUGAAAUCUCCGGGCUUAACUCGGAAAGGUCAACUGAUACUGUGCGACUAGAGUGCAGAAGGGGCAACUGGAAUUCUCGGUGUAGCGGUGAAAUGCGUAGAUAUCGAGAGGAACACCUGCGGCGAAGGCGGGUUGCUGGGCUGACACUGACGCUGAACUGCGAAAGCUAGGGGAGCGAACGGG